rnacentral:tRNA from 1 species
GAAAUAUUAGUCUAAUACAAAACAGCUGAUUUCGACUUAGCAGAUUGUGAUGCAAUUUCACAAUAUUUC